CUAAUCUCAGGACACUUUUUGGGUUCUUUACUUAAUGACUUGUUUCACGUGUCGUACAACGCGAAGAACACCUCACAUCCUAAUUAGUGAGUAUUCUCUGUGGAACUGCCGAUCACUGCCUCCGAAAGGACAUCAGUCAUGUCCUGCGACUCCCAUUAUUGUACUGUGUUCCCUUGAACGCAGCGUAAGAAACAGUGGACGUGUGCGGCAACAUGUGAGUCAGGCGGGUGUGGGCGUGGUCUCUCUCCGUCAGCACAUGUUCCCUGCUGGGGAGUAGUGACAAGCACCGCGAGGCUCCUGUUUGUCUGGACCGGAACACGCACACAGCAGCUCGUCGUCUCCUACGAACUCAAAUGAAACGGAGAACCGCGUUACAUGAUUACAUGAUGUGUACGAUGUAUUAGCGUGGUGGUACAACACUCUCUGAGUUCCCAUCUAUUCAGUUCCGCAGUGAUCGAUUCAAGGGUCGCGAGGAGCUGGAACCUAUCCCAGCUAACUACGGGCGAGAGACGGGGGUACACCUAGGACUGGACACAGCCAAUCGCAGGACCGACACACAAAAGAUAUGUUAAUUUUGUGUAUGCAUCCAUGGCC